rnacentral:sRNA from 1 species
UAGCGUUGUUUAAAAUUCAUGAUGUCCU